rnacentral:lncRNA from 1 species
CCAGAUCGUCAUUACAGUGUCUAUGCAAAACUGUUCUAAGAAGAUGGAGGCGCCGACAUGUCUGGGCCGCAAGUUCACUGGGGAAUAUACCAUCAUAUCUAUAAGAAGUUGGACUGGUAUGUGGGGGAAUCGGAACUUGGAGAAGGCUUUUGAGUUUAUGACUUUUAUGAUGGUGCGCAUGCCUUCCACACAUCUCUGGAGGUCCUCGGGCUCCUCGAAGUAAUUGAAGGUGACAUAUGGGUUGUCUUCUGGGUUGGUGGUUCGGAGCUUCAGGUGGCCUGUUGAGAUCGGACCUUUGAUCUUCUCAAGGAUGAUUCCACCUCUCACUGUUGCUUUCAUCAUGGUGUUCAUGGCUUUAUGGGCUUUCUCCGUACCUUUUGGGUUUGUAGAAGCAUUGGAUAACUGUUCAGGAGGCCUGUGAAACCAAGAACGGAUGAUAUCGGAACCGCUAGCGGCUUCGAUGUAACUCCCAAACGUGGUGAUGCCCACGACUUGGAUGAGGGAAUUUUCGACGGGCCGUGGAGAGGGAAUGGGCAGGGCAUUCAUUGGGUUGUCAGCCAUGCCUUGGCCAACCAUGGGCUGCUCCAGAAUCACUGGGAUACCAUGGGCCUUAAGAUGGGACUCAGGCCCAAUUCCACUCAGCAUCAACAAUUGUGGGCUUCCAAUCGCGCCAGCUGACAAUAUGAUCUCGCUCUUGGAGUCCCUCCUAUACGCAUUAUGCCUGACUCCUACUUCAUCUCUAAAUAUCACACCUGAGGCUAUUGGCUUUGAUUCUCCUGCAUCAACCAUCAUCAUAAAGAUGAAAAAGCAUUAAUUUCACAAUCAUAUCAAACAUAUUGCCCAACAUUCAGAAUAUCUCAUUUUCCCUAUAGAACAAUGCUAUUUUAUGUUGUCAGAAAAUCACUUGGACAUUUUCGAUUUUUUUUAGAUUAAUGUUCGUAGCAGCUUAUAAAAAUGGGUAUCCCCCAAACAGAUCAUCGAAUAUAUACAAGGUUAUGCAAACCCUAAACUAAUGUUUUUCGUCCUUAAUUCUAGGGGUUUGUGAUUCAAAAAUAUAUAUUGUAUCAACACGUUAUUAAAUCUUACCAUGCAAUCUAAACUCAAUCUUCUCCACUGUUGCAUGUAAGAGAACAACAAUAUUUUUAGGGUUGGCAUACUCGAGCAAAUCAGCAGCAGUGUGUCUGUGAUCCUGAUGAUCGAAUAUGGUUCCGCCAACUUUAGUCCCAUACAAAUGUUCAUAGCUAAAUCCAUUGUAUGGCAACACACCUGCCUCCAGCAAUCCAUCUCUGACAGCAGACUGCCACUGCAGCAUCGGGGGCUUGAACACCACCUUCUUUUCCACCCAUUCAUAAGAUUCCUUCACCAGUCUUUCGUCCCAGCCUGAGCUUUUUACGAAGCCGGCGCUAGCUCUUGAAUAAAAACCAGCAUUCAAGGCGCUUCCACCACCUAGAACACGGGCUCGAGUGUUGAAGACUCCAUCUUCAGAGAUGAAGGAUUGGGAAGGUGAUAAUGGAGAAUUGUCCAAAAUGUUGGCAAAGAACGAAUCCAGGUUUCUUAUCUUAGGGUUGCCAUAGGGCGAGCCUCCUCUUUCAAGCACCAAAACGGUAGCGUUUUGGGAGAGAGUUGCAGCCAAUGCACAGCCAGAGGUUCCACCCCCAAUGAUUAUAUAGUCGUAAUAUAGGUUUGGUGGAGCCUGUUUUGCUUCUUGGAGGAAUGAAUAAUUGGGAGCUGCAUAUGGAGAGUAUAACAAGAUCCAUUUUAAUGGAGAAAUUAAUAAACAGAGAAACAAAGCUUUGCAUCUUAUAUUUUUCUGAUCUUUAUAUGUAAUGAAAUAUCAGUAUUCAGUGAGAAAUUCAUACCUUUCUCUGAGUAACAGAAGCCAUGAAAGAACAGUAAUACUCCAGCAAGAGCUGCACCAAAAUUUCUCCACCACCUCAAACCCAUAAUCUAAUUAACUUCAGGAUCCCAACCUCAAAAAACACUUUCUGGGACUUCUCUAGAAAAUCUAAACCAGACUAAUAAGCUUUAUGUCUGCUCAACAUAUCAAUCUCUACCGCGUUACAUGAAUGAGCUCAAAACCAUGCAAGGAUAUCGGUUUCAAUACACUGGAGACAUGAAGUUGUAGCUCAACAACAAGAAUUGCUUGCAGCCAUUCCUGCAGGGAUAUAAAGAUUUAGUUCAGUGCCCAAGAAGGUAGCUACCCAGCUUGUUGAAAUGCCAAUAUCCCUUCCCUUUUAUCCCUUUGGUUGUAGAAAAGGGUGCCCAUACAGCUUGUUGGUAGAACUUGCAUAAUUAAUAUGGUAUAUAUUGUUUGGUUAAUUUAGUAGACCCUGAGACUUCGUAACGGACAGUUGGCAAGUGAUUAAUGUCUCCAAUUAAUUAAUGAAUAUCCAAAAGAUAUCAUCAAUCAAAAGAUGUCAUCAAUCAACCAUAUAUAAAUAUAUAUAUAUAUACAUAUAUAAAAUGUUUUAUAAGACAAAAGUUUGUUAGAAAAUAUGAAAUAUUUUUAUCAUACUUCUAAUAUUUUUAAAUAUUUUAUAUAUCUAUUUCUAUAUUUUUAAUUAUUAUACAUAUUUGCAUAUUUAUUUUUUAAAAUAACCAUUCAAAAAUAAUUGAAAAUGACUAAAAGAUAUUAUUUAAAAACAUCAUAUUUUAUAUUUUAGAAAGAAAAUAGUUUUUUAAUUGUCAAAAGUGUUUUCCUAUUUUUUAUUUUAAAGAACAAAUUUUUUUUUUAAAUAGUUACCUAACAAAGCCUAACCCUUGUUUUUUCUUUUCUUUUUUUUCUUUUUGUCUUUCUUCCUUUUUUAUAACUCCUUAAGUUUGAUAUUAUUAUAGCAUUUUUCCUUUAAAAUUGAACAUGUCAAUGUAAUUCUCCAAAUACGAUGCACUUUGAACAUUUUGCUAAAAGAAGAAAAAAUGUUUGCAUAUGGUUUUGAUUUAGAGCAAAAGAAGAUAAUUUAGGUGAGUUCAUUAACUAGUACACUAACCAAAUUAGAGAGAGUCUGGGAAAAUGAAAUGUUCCAACCUAUCCACUUCCAAUGAAUUAACAAUUAUAGGCCAUGGAGCCAUCCCUUGGUUGUGACAACUCAACCAUACUAAAAUAAUCAUAUUUACCAUGUUUUUCUAACCCGAGAGGCACACAACUUCAUAUAUAUUGACGAAUUUGUCAUGAGGAUGAUUUUUUUUAAUUUCAACUUAGCCUAGCUCAAAGAGGUAUUUCAUGCUAAGAGUUACCAAUUGGUGUAGUGUAUAUUAUUAUUAGUGUUUAGUUGGUAAUUAUUGAUCCCUGAAUUUGGAAAAAUUUGUUAUUGUAAAAACGUGCGCUCUAACGUCUCAAUUUGUGAAAUCUAUAAAUUUCACAUUUGAAAUUUCACCUACCAUUGACCUAUGAUAUAUAUCUUAAUUAAUCAAUCUAAGUAAAGUAGUGAAUUUAGAAUUCCAAAUUAAGAAGAAAAAAUGUUUGCAUAUGGUUUCGAUUUAGAGCAAAAGAAGAAAGUUUAGGUGAGUUCAUUAACUACUACACUAACAAAAUUAGAGAGUUUGGGAAAAUGAAAUGUUCCGACCUACCAUAAUGAAUUAACAAUUAUUGGCCAUGGAGCCAUCCCUUGGUUGUGACAACUCAACCAUACUAAAAUAAUCAUAUUUACCAUGUAUUUCAAACCCGAGAGGCACACAACUUCAUAUAUAUUAACGAAUUUGUCAUGAGGAUGCUUUUUUUAAUUUCAAUUUAGGCUAAAAGAGGUAUUUCAUACUAAGUGUUACCAAUUGGUGUAGUAUAUAUUGUUAUUAGUGUUUAGUUGGUAAUUAUUGAUCCUUGAAUUUGAAAGUAUUUGUUAUUGUAAAAAUGCUCUAACAACAUCUCAAUUUGUGAAAUCUAUAAAUUUCACAUUUGAGAUUUCACCUACCAUUGACCUAUGAUAUAUAUGUUAAUAAAUCAAUGUUAGUAAUGUAGUGACUUUAGAAUUCCAAAUCAAUCUCAUAAAGAAAAUGACAUGGUCAAUAAAAGAAUUUAAGUGGAAUAUCUUAUUACAAGUUCAAAAAUCACAAUCAUUCCAACUACUCAAAAUCUACUAUUAUUGAUUUUCUUAUCGAACUCAAUCCACAUGAUUAAUUUCCUACCUCCUACUAUCUUUUCACAAUUCAUGGUCAAUGCUUCACUAAUUCGAAAUCACUUCACCCUAAUUAAUCUUUAGGAUCUCACCUACCUACAUCUUACCAAUGACACUAAAAUGGAUGAAUCAUAGAAUGGACUCAUAUAUAAUUCAAACAUUCAAGUGAAAUAUUGUCAAUGACACAAACUCUCCAUGAUGAUCUUCAUGGCCCAUUUUUGCCCCCAAUUUCGAAUUUCGUCAUCAUGGAAGAUCCCUCUAUGUAUUCCCUCUUUGGGACUAAUAAUUUGAGUUUCAAAAGUUUGAAUUUAAGCUUGAAAUGUUUGGUUUUAAAAUGUGACAAAAGUAAGCAUAUUUUCCUAAAUUUUUUUUAUACUAGUGACUUCCAAGAGAACAAUAAAAUUAAUAUUCAUUUGGUUUUGAUUAAUUUUUUUCCUUUAAAAUUGAACAUGUCAAUGUGAUUCUCCAAAUACGAUGCACUUUGAACAUUUUUCUAAAAGAAGAAAAAAUGUUUGCAUAUGGUUUUGAUUUAGAGCAAAAGAAGAAAAUUUAGGUGAGUUCAUUAACUACUACACUAACCAAAUUAGAGAGAGUCUAGGAAAAUGAAAUGUUCCAACCUACCCUAAUGAAUUAACAAUUAUAAGCCACGGAGCCAUCCCAUGGUUGUGACAAUUCAACCAUACUAAAAUAAUCAUAUUUACCAUGUUUUUCAAACCCAAGAGGCACACAACUUCAUAUAUAUUGACGAAUUUGUCAUGAGGAUUCUUUUUUAAUUUCAACUUAGCCUAAAAAAGGUAUUUCAUGCUAAGUAUUACCAAUUGGUGUAAUAUAUAUUGUUAUUAGUGUUUAGUUGGUAAUUAUUGAUCCUUGAAUUUGGAAGUAUUUGUUAUUGUAAAAAUGCUUUAACAACAUCUCAUUUUGUGAAAUCUAUAAAUUUUGAUCACAUUUGAGAUUUCACCCUAUGAUAUAUAUGUUAAUUAAUCAAUGUUAGUAAUGUAGUGAAUUUAGAAUUCCAAAUCAAUCUCAUAAAGAAAAUGACAUGGUCAAUAAAAGAAUUUAAGUGGAAUAUCUUAUUACAAGUUCAAAAUCACAAUCAUCCCAACUACUCAAAAUCUAUUAUUAUUGAUUUUCUUAUCAAACUCAAUCCACGUGAUUAAUUUUCUACCUCCUACUAUCUUUUCACAAUUCAUGGUCAAUGCUUUGCUAAUUCGAAAUCACUUCACCCUAAUUAAUCUUUAGGAUCUAACCUAGCUACAUCUUACCAAUGACACUAAAAUGGAUGAAUCAUAUAAUGAACUCAUAUCUAAUUUAAACAUUUAAAUGAAAUCUUGUCAAUGACACACAAACUCUCCAUGAUGAUCUUCCGUUGGCCCAUUUUUGCUCCCAAUUUCGAGUUCCGCCAUCGUGGAAGAUCCAUCUAUGUAUUCCCUCCUUGGGACUAAUAAUUUGAGUUUCAAAAGUUUGAAUUUAAGCUUGAAAUGUUUGGUUUUAAAAUGUGACAAAAGUAAGCAUAUUUUCCUAAAAAAAUUUUAUACUCGUGAUUUCCAAGAGAACAAUAAAAUUAAUAUUCAUAUGGUUUUGAUUAAAUUUUUUUUUCCUUUAAAAUUGAACAUGUCAAUGUAAUUCUCCAAAUACGAUACACUUUCAACAUUUACAGAGCUUCCAUUCGUAAUGUAGGUGAAGCUAUUUAUUAGCAGCAAAUCCUUACUUCUCAAACUUUCAAACCCACUUGAUAAAGCCCAAAAAAAAAAAUCACAAUUUUUGCUACUUCAUCUUUCACCAAGAAUCUUCUCUCCCAUGUACCUGCAUUAGAAAAUUAAAAGGAAAAAAAAAAUCAGUAAUAAUGGAAAAAAAAAAUACGAAUAUUUGAUUAUGAUAAACGACUAGGUACCUUCCAAGCAUCAUAACAGUAGCUUGUGGAUUAGUCCCCGGAGAGUGAUUAAAGGUGGAACCAUCUAUAAUUCUUAGCCCAUCCACGCCAAUAACCUUGUAGUCUGGCUCCACCACUCGCCCAACAUGGCAGCCUCCAUGAUAAUGCCAGAUCGUCAUUACAGUGUCUAUGCAAAACUGUUCUAAGAAGAUGGAGGCACCGACAUGUCUGGGCCGCAAGUUCACUGGGGAAUAUACCAUCAUAUCUAUUAGAAGUUGGACUCGUAUGUGGGGGAAUCGGAACUUGGAGAAGGCUUUUGAGUUUAUGACUUUUAUGAUGGUGCGCAUGCCUUCCACACAUCUCUGGAGGUCCUCGGGCUCCUCGAAGUAAUUGAAGGUGACAUAUGGGUUGUCUUCUGGGUUGGUGGUUCGGAGCUUCAGGUGGCCUGUUGAGAUCGGACCUUUGAUCUUCUCAAGGAUGAUUCCACCUCUCACUGUUGCUUUCAUCAUGGUGUUCAUGGCUUUAUGGGCUUUCUCCGUACCUUUUGGGUUUGUAGAAGCAUUGGAUAACUGUUCAGGAGGCCUGUG